GACGAACCGUGCGAACGUUAUUCGGAAUCAUUGGGCGUAAAGGGUGCGUAGGCGGCGCGGUAAGUCGGGUGUGAAAUCUCGGAGCUUAACUCCGAAACUGCAUUCGAUACUGCCGUGCUUGAGGACUGGAGAGGAGACUGGAAUUUACGGUGUAGCGGUGAAAUGCGUAGAUAUCGUAAGGAAGACCAGUGGCGAAGGCGGGUCUCUGGACGGCAACUGACGCUGAGGCACGAAAGCGUGGGGAGCAAACAGG
rnacentral:rRNA from 1 species